GAAUUCAUUUAAGUUUUACAUAAGUAAAAAGUGUGAUUGUUUUUGUAACUUAUUAUUACCUAUCAAAAAAUUGUUUUUUACUGACCUUUACAAUAAAUUGCUUCUACAAAACUCUAUUUAAGUAUUUAUAUCCAAAGUAAAAUGUCACGACCCGCUCACAUGCUGCAGCAGAACAACGACAUCCUUGCUCAUUGUCACCUGUACCGGACCAGUUUCGGAUUUCUUUGGAGUUUUUGGGGGCUUUAUACAACGUGCAACACAUAAGACCAUCAGAUCUACUGAUCUGGAGCGGCUGGUCAACGCAUCAAGAACUUUUAUUGGAACUGAUACAGGAUCCAAGUACCUCUGUGGUAACUCUGAGAUGCCUCAUUGAAUACAUGGGAGAGAGUGGGCAAGAGCUCAUCUCUGACUACUAUGGAAAAACGGAGAGCAGUGUAUAUGCAGAUAUAUGUCUGCCGUGAACCAGAUGCAGUGGGCAUCAUCAUUGAGGGAAUCCCAGUGCUUACUGAUCUUGGAAAUCUGGCCAGGGCAUGUUGCCCGCUUCUGGGGAUGACUUAUGCUCUGAACCUGCAGUAUCCACCACAACUCUGCAAAACAUUUGAGGUGUUCCAAAGACUUUUUGUGGGACUUGACACACUGCGCCCAAAGCCUUCCUCCCAAUUCAUGACACUCAAAAACAAACUUCUGAGUUAGUUGGUCAAAUGCCAACCUCACACUAAAUGGCAAUCUUGUUGUGUUUUUGUUGAGUUUUUCAGAAGAUUGUUGUGAAUGUUUAAUUGUUAAUUGGCUGCGGUUCAGAGGUUCUGUUAUAUAAACCAUUUUAUGGUAAAGUGUUUUAAUACAUACUAAGAUAUACUGUACUGUGCACUUACGGAUUGAAGCUGAAGUCAGUUCUUUCUUGUCAAAUGCUGUGAUCCUGCCUUCCUGUGUUUUAUUUUAAAUUCAAAUGUUGUGUGUCAAAGGUGUUCUUGUAAGGAUUUAUGUAAGAUUAUGCUUUUUUUUAUGUUUCUUUGCUUCAUCACUCUUGCUCGGUGGGCAGUUUAACUUAGAACAGUGUGGUAGUCAAGCACAGACUUCUUCAGUUCCUGGAUAAGUCUCCAGCUUUUGGGCACUUGAUGUGCUGAAGUUAGUUUUGUUAUAUCAAAUGCUGAGGUCAGAGGCCCUUUAUUUUAUUUUAUUUCAAUGUCAAAUGUUUUAUUGAAAUAUAGCAGAUUGUGCUUGAAACAUGUUAUUGUAUUAGUUUAUUAUGUUUUAAUACAUAGGAAAAUGUACUGUACUGUGCACUAAAGUCAGUCCUUUAGUGUUCUAUGCUGCACUUAAAGAUGAGGUUAGAAGUUUCUGUAAUUUUUAAUGUU